ensembl:lncRNA uncharacterized LOC114844041
AUGUUGUGUGCUGUUGCUCUGUUUCUGCCUCCAUCCAGGCUGAAUAUGAGUCAUCCGGGGCCUAAUGGAGGGAAUGUACACUCGUUCACCAACAGUGGUGCUUUUAACUCUGGGCCACAGGAUGCAGACCUGCAGAGCAGCUGUCCACGGCCACGGCCUCUGUCCCGUCCACAACCCCCCUCUGCUGCUCCUGUGUUCUACGUUCAUGCGCCAACUGCUCCUCCUCCACCUGCAUUCCACUAUCCGUGGCCACUUCCCAUGCCCUUAUUCUUUAACCCCCUUGAGGGCUUCCCCGGCAUGGGCUAUGGCAUUUUCAUGCCACCUUUCCCUCCCUACAUGGAGACUCCAGCCUACAUUAUGCCCCCCCCUCACGUCCAGCCCAUGGACUACAGACGGCUGCUCCACCCUCAGGCCCAUGUGCCUACGGCAGCUCACCAGAACACCAACCAGAUGAGGAGAACCCGCCCGCCUCGUGGUGCAUCUACAGAAACCGUGAACGCUGCGGUCCAGACAGAACUCACUGAAAGACACGCUAAUGAUUAUGGCGACCGAAGCCCACUUGUCCUUCCAGAUUCUGGACAUGGGACUACCUCUGUCUCUCCCUCUUCAAGCUCUAGUUCCAAAAGAAGAGACGCUGCUGAAGCCAAUGACUUUAAGAGUUUGGAACAAAAAGUGAGGAACCUGAUGAGCAGUAAUGGAGACGUGCAGAUUAAUGACGCUAGAACAAAAGUACCGCUCAAACCCAGCUUCAACGUUCAACAUCCUACUCGAUCUGUGGGUACAUCUAUCAGGGCAAUUCUGGACGAUCAGAAGAACCACAAAGAGGGUAGCGCUCAGACGAAUGAUGGUCACUGCAAAGUCUGGUCGGUCAGUUCUUCUGAUAGUAUUGUCCCCGUGUGUAGUUCUUCUCAACAAGAUGACGUUUUCAGAGAAAGACUUUCCUCCAUUUGUGGUGUUCAGAAGCUGCUGCCCUCAGAAAGUCCAAAUGCUCGUGAUAAGUGUGUGGACCAACUCCCAGGCGAGGAUGACUCUUUUGCCAAAGACUGUGAAUGUCUUUACAAAAUUCUGAAACUACCUUUAGUUCGGUCAAGAGAAGAUGCUCAUGAAAUGUCUUCAGGCAACUUCCAGACAAGAAAAAAGGUGAAUGAGUCUGUUUGGUCAGUGGACUCUUUGCCUCUCUAUAUCCCCACUAAAGAGUGGCUUGCACAAAAUGGCCUAAUUGACACUGUAGCAAUUGAAGAGGAGGAAGUGGGAAACUGCCAGGCAGCACGAAAUUUUAGAAUUGUAAACACUCCUAAAAGAAUUGGGGAUGCUCAUGAAAUGUUUUCGAGCAACUUCCAGACAAAGAAGUUCAAUGAGUCUGUUUGGUCAGUUGAGUCUCUGCCUCCCUUCAUCCCCACUAAAGAGUGGCUUGCACAAAAUGGCCUAUUUGGCCCUGUAGCAAUUGAAGAGGAGGAAUUGGGAAACUGCCAGUCAGCACAAAAUGUCAGAAAUGUAAACACUGGUAAAAGAAUUGGUAACGCCUUCUCGGAGAAUGAAGCGACUCUCCCGAAUUCGCCCACACUGGAGAGAAUCGUACAAAAUGCAGUAGAUGUGGAGGCCAUAGAUGGAAACGGUGAGCAGCUGUGUGUUCCUGUGGAUCACAUGCAGAUGGCUGAGGUGUCUCCAAGGGGACAUCUGGUGGACUGUGGCAUCCAGUGUGACCAAAUCCAGUGUUUCUGUGAGAAGAUCAGAAGCAGCAGAGGAACCUGCAGAAGGAAUCUACUCAGACCUUCAGGUGUGAAGUCAAACAAUGGUGGCAGCAAAGUAUUCUGCAUGAAUGGAUCUUCGCAGAAAAACCAGAAUAGUCCUGAAAACCUAACUGGGCAGCAGAUGUCACAUGAUGGGCUCCCUGGCCAAACUGGGAAAAGGGGUGAGCACGGCUCAACCGCUCUCCUUACAGUGGACAGAACUAGAAAUAGAUUCCCGUAAUUCCUGUUGAGGAAUUAUUUGCUUUAAUGUUAUAAAUUUGUGCAAGACAAAUGUGUGCUUAAACACUAAAUACAGAAAUUAGCCUUGAUGAAACUUUUCAUUCAGGAAAUCGCCAGAUUUCAUUGUUCAUUGCUAGUCUCAGGGUUUGGUUUUGCUUUGCUACUCGUCGGUGGAGGAAACCACAAAUGAGGAAAGACAUGAUUUUAUAUUGUCUAAUAAUAAAAUGAUCUAUUUUUUCA